rnacentral:lncRNA from 1 species
UGUGCGUGUUAGUCGUUCAGUCGUGUCCACUCUUUGCGACCCCAUGGCCUGUAGCCCACCAGACUCUUCUGUCUGUGGGAUUUCCCAGCAAGAAUACUGGAGCGGGUUGUCAUUCCCUUCCUCCGGGGAUCUUCCCGACCCAGGGAUCGGACCUGGGUCUCCUGCACUGCAGGUGGAUUCUUUACCGUCUGACUACCAGGGAAGCCCAUUAGAUUUAAGAGUUCAGCGCUAACUUGUGCUGUCAUCAGAGCUGGUUGGAAGGAAGAGCUGGGGCUGGGAGCCAGCCUCUAUGAAGCUGGAAGGCAAGCACCCAAGACAGCAAGUGAAGCCACCUGUAGGGAAUUUAGGGAAGAGAGAUGGGGCGGAAGCUGGGGAGCACACGGUGUGGAGGGAGAGGCUCUGUUUGCCUGGUUCUGCUUGGAGUCUGGCGUGAGAUUCACUUCACUUUCAAGACAAGUGCUGUUGGGGGACAGCCCAGCCUGCCUGCCAUCGCCCUGUGGAUAUUUCCGUGCUCAUGAUGGAGACUGCUGGUGUGUCCUCUCAGAGUCAUCCUGUCGCUCCGAAGGUGUGUCUGCAGGAAGGUCACCAGGGCUGCGAGAAGGCCUGGGUGGUAACCGACCCAGGGAGCGUCCACUUUCCAAGUCCAGCCCCGCCGCACCCUGGCGAGCUGGCUCCUGUCCUGCGUGCACUUCUACGCCCUGUGGACUCACCUCUUCUCUUGGCCAGGGGGCCAGCUCCAUGUCCCCGCCCCGUUGGUGAAAGUGUUUUGUGUGAUUCCUCCUGUUGCCUGGAGAACACUUUUCUCUUUUAUUAUUGUUUUGGUUUUAACCGGAGAGAAUGUGGUGAGAGGGAAGACUGCGGAGCUAAGGGAGAGCUUUGCUGUAGCCAGAGAAGAGCCGGGGGCAGGGCUUCCAGAAGGAGCCCCGAGAAUGUGGUCCUGUCGCACUGCCAGCUCUCAGGAAAGGGCCACGCCUUGGAGUGCCAUCCCUACACGCAGCAUGCAGAGCCCGGCAAGGCACCAAGCAGCCCAGGGCGGCGGCCCAUUGAGAUAACCAAGCGGACAGACAAUCAGCGGGGCCGCCUUGAGUGUUCUCUGCUUACGACUCUGGGGCCUUUACGUUUGGAACAACUGAAAGGAACUGGGGAGAGAAGUGAGAGUGGAAAAAAAAGGGCAUCUUUUUUUUUUUUUUUGAAUUGCAUCUUUUUUUUGCUGUGUUUUUAAAAUUUUUAUUUGAAUUUAAAUUUUAACUUGAUUUAUAAUAUUGUGUUAGUCUUCCACUUACAGAAGAGGGAUUCAGUAUUCCUGCAGAUCCCAUCCCAUUAUAGAUUAUUACAAAAUAUGGGUUAUAAUUCCCUGUGGUCUGCAGCAGAUCACUGUUGUAUCUCUGUUUUCUGUACCGUCAUUUCUGUCUGCUAAUCCCACGCUCAUAAUUUGUCCCUCCCUUUGGUAUCCACAAGUUUGUUGUAUAUGUCUGUGAGUCUGCUUCUGUUUUGUAUAUACGUUCAUUUGUAAUAUUGUUUAAGCUCCACAUAUAAGUGAUAUCAUAGUAUUUGUCUUUCUCUGUCUGACGUAUCAGUAAGCGUAAUAUUCCCUAGGUACAGCCACAUUGCUGUAAAUGGCCAUUGUCAGGGUUGAGAAAUAUUCCAUUGUAUACGUAUGUGUAUAUGCCAUAUCUUCUUAAUCUAAUCGUCUGUUGGCGGAGACUAGGGGUGUUUCCAUGUCUUAGCUAUUGUAAGUAGUGCUGCUCUGAACAUUCAGAUGCAUGUAUCUUUUUGAGUUAGUAUUUUUGUUUAUUUCCAGAUAUACGCCCAGAAGUGGAAUUGCUGGAUCAUAUGACAAUUCUAUUUUUUAGGUUUUUUUUUUUUUAAUUGGAGUAUAUUAACAGUUUCUUUAUAAUGUUGUGUUUGACUGCAUUACUUUGAUUUAGUAAAAAUGACCUGAGUUUCCAGAGCAAAAUUCCUAUGGGCCACAUAUAAAUAAAAUGGAGACAGCCUAGCGUCCA